rnacentral:rRNA from 1 species
UACGUAGGGUGCGAGCGUUAAUCGGAAUUACUGGGCGUAAAGCGUGCGUAGGCGGUUCGUUAAGUUCGUUGUGAAAGCCCCGGGCUCAACCUGGGAAUGGCAAUGGAAACUGGCGGGCUGGAGUAUGGCAGAGGGGGGGUGGAAUUCCGCGUGUAGCAGUGAAAUGCGUAGAGAUGCGGAGGAACACCGAUGGCGAAGGCAGCCCCCCUGGGCCAAUACUGACGCUCAGGCACGAAAGCGUGGGGAGCAAACAGG